AUUGAACGCUGGCGGAAUGCUUUACACAUACAAGUCGAACGGCAGCAUAGGUGCUUGCACCUGAUGGCGAGUGGCGAACGGGUGAGCAAUAUAUCGGAACGUGCCCAGUCGUGGGGGAUAACGUAGUGAAAAUUACGCUAAUACCGCAUACGAUCUAAGGAUGAAAGCGGGGGAUCGCAAGACCUCGCGCGAUUGGAGCGGCCGAUAUCAGAUUAGGUAGUUGGUGAGGUAAAGGCUCACCAAGCCAACGAUCUGUAGCUGGUCUGAGAGGACGACCAGCCACACUGGGACUGAGACACGGCCCAGACUCCUACGGGAGGCAGCAGUGGGGAAUUUUGGACAAUGGACGCAAGUCUGAUCCAGCCAUUCCGCGUGCAGGACGAAGGCCUUCGGGUUGUAAACUGCUUUUGUGCGGAACGAAAAGGUCUCUAUUAAUACUAGGGGCUCAUGACGGUACCGUAAGAAUAAGCACCGGCUAACUACGUGCCAGCAGCCGCCGUAA
rnacentral:rRNA from 1 species